AUGAACAGGUCUUUGCUUUCUGUGUACUCUUUCUGUGUGCCAUCACUGACAUCAUCAGUUGCUCAAUCAGGACCUUUGACUCUACAGUGUGUGUAAUGUGCACUCGCUGUCUGCACCAUGAGGCCCCCCGUAGAGGCAUCACUGACCCUGUGCACAGGGCCUCGGUCUCGUCCUCAUCCCUGACGUGCUUUCACACCACUAACUUGGCAAAGGCUGGAGCCGAAGACUGAAUACAAAAGGCAAAAGUGAGACCAGCGUUCAUCUUUUUCCUCCUGGACUCCAGACGUGAUCUAACCAGUGGCUUCACACCCCCACCAGGCCUUCCUUCUCAUGGUGAUGUGUCCUUCAACUGCCACCUGCUCAAAGGCGAGACCGCAUUCCGCAUCCCAAACAGGACGUUGAUUUUGCUGUGUGCCAACGGCAGGGAAGGAGCCUGCGCUGACUCCAGGGUCCCCGCGCAGAGACAGAGGGCUGCGUGCUGCUGUGAGGCAUCAUUGAUCACUCACAUCAAUGGUCACUUGUUCUACUGCCGGAGAACAGUCCGCCCUUCUCAGAACAGAA